rnacentral:rRNA from 1 species
GACGAACGCUGGCGGCGUGCUUAACACAUGCAAGUCAAGGGGGCCCAGCAAUGGGCAACCGGCGAACGGGUGCGUAACACGUGAGCAACCUACCGAACUGUGGGGGAUAGCCGGCCUAACGGCCGAGUAAUACCGCAUACGCUCUCAGAGAGGCAUUUCUUUGAGAGGAAACCUACGGGACAGAUCGAGGGGCUCGCGGCCUAUCAGCUAGUUGGCGAGGUAACGGCUCACCAAGGCAACGACGGGUAGCUGGUCUGAGAGGAUGGCCAGCCACAUUGGGACUGAGAUACGGCCCAGACUCCUACGGGAGGCAGCAGUGGGGAAUCUUGCGCAAUGGCCUAACGGCUGACGCAGCGACGCCGCGUGUGGGAUGAAGCUCUUCGGAGUGUAAACCACUGUUGCCCGGGACGAAUAGCUCGAUUAAUCGAGCCUGACGGUACCGGGUGAGGAAGCACCGGCUAACUCCGUGCCAGCAGCCGCGGUAAUACGGGGGGUGCGAGCGUUGUCCGGAAUCACUGGGCGUAAAGGGCGCGUAGGUGGUUUGAUAAGGGUGUGGUGAAAGUCCGGGGCUCAACCCCGGAUCUGCCGUGCCGACUGUCAAACUCGAGGACUGUAGAGGCAGACGGAAUUCCGGGUGUAGCGGUGGAAUGCGUAGAGAUCCGGAGGAAGACCGGUGGCGAAGGCGGUCUGCUGGGCAGUUUCUGACACUGAGGCGCGACAGCGUGGGGAGC